UCCCAACAGAUCAGGACCAUCGGAGGCU
rnacentral:piRNA from 1 species